rnacentral:rRNA from 1 species
UGAGGAAUAUUGGUCAAUGGACGAGAGUCUGAACCAGCCAAGUAGCGUGCAGGAUGACGGCCCUAUGGGUUGUAAACUGCUUUUGUUUGGGAAUAAUCGACAUUACGUGUAAUGUUUUGCAUGUACCAUUCGAAUAAGGACCGGCUAAUUCCGUGCCAGCAGCCGCGGUAAUACGGAAGGUCCAGGCGUUAUCCGGAUUUAUUGGGUUUAAAGGGAGCGUAGGCUGUUUGUUAAGCGUGUUGUGAAAUGUAGGAGCUCAACUUUUAGAUUGCAGCGCGAACUGGCAGACUUGAGUGCGCACAACGUAGGCGGAAUUCAUGGUGUAGCGGUGAAAUGCUUAGAUAUCAUGACGAACUCCGAUUGCGAAGGCAGCUUACGGGAGCGCAACUGACGCUAAAGCUCGAAGGUGCGGGUAUCGAACAGG